UACGGGGGGAGCAAGCGUUGUUCGGAUUUACUGGGCGUAAAGGGCGCGUAGGCGGCCUCCGCAAGUCGACUGUGAAAUCUCCGGGCUUAACCCGGAAAGGUCAGCCGAAACUGCGGGGCUAGAGUGCAGAAGGGGCAACUGGAAUUCUCGGUGUAGCGGUGAAAUGCGUAGAUAUCGAGAGGAACACCUGCGGCGAAGGCGGGUUGCUGGGCUGACACUGACGCUGAAGCGCGAAAGCCAGGGGAGCGAACGGGG
rnacentral:rRNA from 1 species